rnacentral:rRNA from 1 species
CCUACGGGGGACAGCAGUGAGGAAUAUUGGUCAAUGGACGAGAGUCUGAACCAGCCAAGUAGCGUGAAGGAUGACUGCCCUAUGGGUUGUAAACUUCUUUUAUAUGGGAAUAAAACGUUCCACGUGUGGGAUUUUGUAUGUACCAUAUGAAUAAGGAUCGGCUAACUCCGUGCCAGCAGCCGCGGUAAUACGGAGGAUCCGAGCGUUAUCCGGAUUUAUUGGGUUUAAAGGGAGCGUAGGUGGAUUGUUAAGUCAGUUGUGAAAGUUUGCGGCUCAACCGUAAAAUUGCAGUUGAAACUGGCAGUCUUGAGUACAGUAGAGGUGGGUGGAAUUCGUGGUGUAGCGGUGAAAUGCUUAGAUAUCACGAAGAACUCCGAUUGCGAAGGCAGUUCACUGGACUGCAACUGACACUGAGGCUCGAAAGUGUGGGUAUCAAACAGGAUUAGAUACCCCAGUAGUC